rnacentral:rRNA from 1 species
UACGUAGGGGGCAAGCGUUGUCCGGAUUUAUUGGGCGUAAAGAGCGUGUAGGCGGCCAUACAGGUCCGUUGUGAAAACUCGAGGCUCAACCUCGAGACGUCGAUGGAAACCGUAUGGCUAGAGUCCGGAAGAGGAGAGUGGAAUUCCUGGUGUAGCGGUGAAAUGCGCAGAUAUCAGGAAGAACACCCGUGGCGAAGGCGGUUCUCUGGGACGGUACUGACGCUGAGACGCGAAAGCGUGGGGAGCGAACAGG